CGACGAGUUCUCGUUGAUGAUCGGUGCUUGCACCGAGAUUCAACAUGGAACGAGUGGCGGACGGGUGAGUAACACGUGGGUAACCUGCCCUUAAGUGGGGGAUAACAUUUGGAAACAGAUGCUAAUACCGCAUAGAUCCAAGAACCGCAUGGUUCUUGGCUGAAAGAUGGCGUAAGCUAUCGCUUUUGGAUGGACCCGCGGCGUAUUAGCUAGUUGGUGAGGUAAUGGCUCACCAAGGCGAUGAUACGUAGCCGAACUGAGAGGUUGAUCGGCCACAUUGGGACUGAGACACGGCCCAAACUCCUACGGGAGGCAGCAGUAGGGAAUCUUCCACAAUGGACGCAAGUCUGAUGGAGCAACGCCGCGUGAGUGAAGAAGGCUUUCGGGUCGUAAAACUCUGUUGUUGGAGAAGAAUGGUCGGCAGAGUAACUGUUGUCGGCGUGACGGUAUCCAACCAGAAAGCCACGGCUAACUACGUGCCAGCAGCCGCGGUAAUACGUAGGUGGCAAGCGUUAUCCGGAUUUAUUGGGCGUAAAGCGAGCGCAGGCGGUUUUUUAAGUCUGAUGUGAAAGCCCUCGGCUUAACCGAGGAAGCGCAUCGGAAACUGGGAAACUUGAGUGCAGAAGAGGACAGUGGAACUCCAUGUGUAGCGGUGAAAUGCGUAGAUAUAUGGAAGAACACCAGUGGCGAAGGCGGCUGUCUGGUCUGUAACUGACGCUGAGGCUCGAAAGCAUGGGUAGCGAACAGGAUUAGAUACCCUGGUAGUCCAUGCCGUAAACGAUGAAUGCUAGGUGUUGGAGGGUUUCCGCCCUUCAGUGCCGCAGCUAACGCAUUAAGCA
rnacentral:rRNA from 1 species